AAGUCGUAACAAGGUUUCCGUAGGUGAACCUGCGGAAGGAUCAUUAUUGAGUUUUGACUGGGUUGUAGCUGGCCUCCCGAGGCAUGUGCACGCCCUGCUCAUCCACUCUACACCUGUGCACUUACUGUGGGCUUCAGACGUCGUGAAGCGGGCUCUUUACGGAGCUUGUAGAGCGUGUCUGUGCCUGCGUUUACCACAAACUCUAUAAAGUAUUAGAAUGUGUAUUGCGAUGUAACGCAUCUAUGUACAACUUUCAGCAACGGAUCUCUUGGCUCUC
rnacentral:misc_RNA from 1 species